GAUGAAGAACGUAGCGAAAUGCGAAAAGUAGUGUGAAUUGCAGAAUUCAGUGAAUCAUCGAAUCUUUGAACGCACAUUGCGCCCGCCAGUAUUCUGGCGGGCAUGCCUGUCCGAGCGUCAUUUCAACCCUCGAGCCCCUCCGGGGGGUCGGCGUUGGGGAUCGGCCCCUCACCGGGCCGCCCCCGAAAUACAGUGGCGGUCUCGCCGCAGCCUCUCCUGCGCAGUAGUUUGCACACUCGCACCGGGAGCGCGGCGCGGCCACAGCCGUAAAACACCCCAAGCAUUCUGAAAUGUUGACCUCGGAUCAGGUAGGAAUACCCGCUGAACUUAAGCAUAUCAAUAAGCGGAGGA
rnacentral:misc_RNA from 1 species